rnacentral:rRNA from 1 species
GACAGAGGGGGCAAGCGUUGUUCGGAAUUACUGGGCGUAAGGGGCGCGUAGGCGGCCUUCUAAGUCGAACGUGAAAUCCCCGGGCUCAACCCGGGAACUGCGUCCGAUACUGGAAGGCUUGAAUCCGGGAGAGGGAUGCGGAAUUCCAGGUGUAGCGGUGAAAUGCGUAGAUAUCUGGAGGAACACCGGUGGCGAAGGCGGCAUCCUGGACCGGCAUUGACGCUGAGGCGCGAAAGCCAGGGGAGCAAACGGG